AACGAACGCUGGCGGCGCGCCUAAUACAUGCAAGUCGAGCGAGAAGGUGUAGCAAUACACUUGUAAAGCGGCGAACGGGUGAGGAAUGCAUGGGUAACCUACCCUCGAGUGGGGAAUAACUAGCCGAAAGGUUAGCUAAUACCGCAUACGUUUCCGGAACUUCGGUUUCGGAAAGAAAGCAAUACCGUGGGUAUUGCGCUCCUGGAUGGGCUCAUGUCCUAUCAGCUUGUUGGUGAGGUAACGGCUCACCAAGGCUUCGACGGGUAGCUGGUCUGAGAGGACGAUCAGCCACACUGGCACUGCGACACGGGCCAGACUCCUACGGGAGGCAGCAGUAAGGAAUAUUGCGCAAUGGACGGAAAAGUACUGACGCCAGCGACGCCGCGUGGGGGAGU
rnacentral:rRNA from 1 species